CAGUAGCCGCGGGAACACGAAGGGUGCAAGCGUUAAUCGGAAUUACUGGGCGUAAAGCGUGCGUAGGCGGUGAGUUAAGUCUGCUGUGAAAUUCCCGGGCUCAACCUGGGAAUGGCAGUGGAUACUGGCUCGCUAGAGUGUGUCAGAGGAUGGUGGAAUUCCCGGUGUAGCGGUGAAAUGCGUAGAGAUCGGGAGGAACAUCAGUGGCGAAGGCGGCCAUCUGGGACAACACUGACGCUGAGGCACGAAAGCGUGGGGAGCAAACAGGAUUAGAUACCCCCGUAGUCCCUGUCUCUUAUAC
rnacentral:rRNA from 1 species